UACAGAGGUCCCAAGCGUUGUUCGGAUUCAUUGGGCGUAAAGGGUGCGUAGGUGGCGCGCUAAGUCAGGUGUGAAAUUUCGGAGCUUAACUCCGAAACUGCAUUUGAUUCUGGCGUGCUUGAGGACUGGAGAGGAGACUGGAAUUUACGGUGUAGCAGUGAAAUGCGUAGAGAUCGUAAGGAAGACCAGUGGCGAAGGCGGGUCUCUGGACAGUUCCUGACACUGAGGCACGAAGGCCAGGGGAGCAAACGGG
rnacentral:rRNA from 1 species